rnacentral:rRNA from 1 species
CAGCUUUCGACGGUAUGGUAUUGGCUUACCGUGGCAGUGACGGUUAACGGGGGAUUAGGGUUCGAUUCCGGAGAGGGAGCCUGAGAAACGGCUACCACAUCUAAGGAAGGCAGCAGGCGCGCAAAUUACCCAAUUCUAACAGUUUGAGAGAGGUAGUAACAAGAAAUAACAAUACAAGGCAGUUAAAAUGCUUUGUAAUUGGAAUGAUAGAAAUUUAAACCCUUUUUAAAGUAUCAAUUGGAGGGCAAGUCUGGUGCCAGCAGCCGCGGUAAUUCCAGCUCCAAUAGCGUAUAUUAAAAUUGUUGCAGUUAAAAAGCUCGUAGUUGAAGUUCUGCUAAAAGUAACCGGUCUGCUUUUAAUAAAAGUGGUAUCUUGGUAUGUAUUUAGCAAUGAUGUCCUUUGAAGUGUUUUUUACUUUAUUGUAAUAAAGCAUAUUCAGGACUUUUACUUUGAGAAAAUUAGAGUGUUUCUAGCAGGCUGACGCUUUGAAUACUGCAGCAUGGAAUAAUAAGAUAGGAUUUUAGUUCUACAUUAUUGGUUUUAAGAGCUAAAUUAAUGAUUGAUAGGGACAGUUGGGGGCAUUUGUAUUUAACUGUCAGAGGUGAA